GUACUUUAAUUCUGUAACAUAAAUCCUCCAACUCCAACUUACACCUUCGUUUGCCUGUAGGGUAACCUCGGCACUCCUGUACUAGUUCCAUCGUAACCUCGGCAUUCUCGUGCUACAUUCGUCAACUCCUACCAAAUCUACGCUCACAUGAUUUUUUUGAAGAAUUAAGCAAAACUGUGAGUAUACUUGAACCCCCUUUUCCUUUUACCACACGUUGGGGUGUAACAUGUUAAUCUAUUAAACUUACACUCAUACUUUUGUAAUAAAUGCACAAACAAUCCUUAUACGUGCAUGCAUACGUUAUACUUAAUGCUUUAAUCUGGGUUUGUACGUUUUGUGUUGAACUUUUCAUUAACUUCGUACGAGCCUAACCUUAACAUGUAUAGCGCUAUAGGAGUAACGCACCGCCUGUGAACGUUGGGUUAUGUUAAGAGAUUUUUGCGUUAAACUUUGGGUUGACUAGUUCGUGCACAUGCCAGUUUAUUGUUUAUCUUGAAUAGCUAGCUUGCCAUGUGGAUUCGUUUAAACCUAUUUACUUAUGCUAUAUAUGAAAACCUGUAUACUCGAUAAUGCUGAUGAUUUAAGGAGCAUAGUGUUGAAGCUUUAGGUACACACCUAGAAAUCGUAGAUUUUAAAUUGUUGUAUCAAUUUUGUAUUACACUAUGUUGUAUCUGUUUUGUUGUAUUGGAACUUGUUGUAUUUGAAUUUCCUGUAUUGUAAUCGACUCUUGAAAUGAAAUGAAAUCAGUUUAUGUUAAUUCU
rnacentral:lncRNA from 1 species